rnacentral:rRNA from 1 species
CACGUAGGGCGCAAGCGUUGUCCGGAAUUAUUGGGCGUAAAGAGCUCGUAGGCGGUCUGUUGCGUCCGCUGUGAAAACUCGGGGCUUAACCCCGAGCCUGCAGUGGAUACGGGCAGACUAGAGGUAGGUAGGGGAGAAUGGAAUUCCCGGUGUAGCGGUGAAAUGCGCAGAUAUCGGGAGGAACACCGGUGGCGAAGGCGGUUAGCUGGGCAGUUGCUGACACUGAGGCGCGACAGCGUGGGGAGCAAACAGG